UGUGUUUCUCUGUGUGUGUGUGUUUAUGUGUGUGUGUUUAUGUGAGUGUCUGUGUCUGUGCAUGUUUCUUUCUGGAAAUUACAUAAUAACAGGAAGUAAAGUGUUCUAUUUUAAGAGCUGGGGAAAUCGAAAGCUAUGAACACUGCAGGGAGGAGCCCUAUUUCAUGAGUCUCUGCAGGAAAACAGCACACGACAAGCCCCAUUUCCUGUCUUGCUGAAGAUUGAUAAUCUGGAAAUUGCUGAGAAACUUCCAGGGAGGCUCAUCUAUAAUUUGAGAGAUAAUGAAUGAAUACAAGAAUAUUGUUCUUCUGAAAGGAUUAGAGGGCAUGGAUGACUAUCAAUUUAGGAAAACCAAGUCCUUACUAAGAAAAGAACUAAAGCUUACUAAUAAAAUGCAAGAGGAUUUUGACAGGAUUCAGCUGGCUGACUUGAUGGAGGACAAGUUCCCCAAAGACGCUGGACUAGACAAAGUGAUAAAAGUGUGUGAGCUCAUAGAAGAGCUUGAAGACCUUGCUAAAAACCUUAGAACAGAGAAGGCAAAAGUUCAAAAGAAAAAUAAAGGUAAAGGCAAAAUGGCAGUGAAAAAAAGAAAGCAAGAUGAACUCAGUACUUCUGAAUCAAACAAGAAUAAACCCUCUUCAAAGAAAAAGAAAAAACAAAUCACAAAAACUGAAGGUGGGAAGAAAAAAAAGCUCACCGAGGAGCAGGCUCAGCUUCCAGAACCUUCAGGAACCAAUAUAAAAAAAGAUGAAAAUUGUCUCCAGACUCCUCUAAAGCCUCCACCAACACCACCCAGCAGUUCCUCAAACAAGAAAAAGAGAAAACAAAUCACAAAAACUGAAGGUGGGAAGAAAAAGAAGCUCACCGAGGAACAGGCUCAGCUUCAAGAACCUUCAGGAACCAAUAUAAAGAAAGAUGAAAAUUGUCUCCAGACUCCUCUAAAGCCUCCACCAACACCACCCAGCAGUUCCUCAAACAAGAAAAAGAGAAAACAAAUCACAAAAACUGAAGGUGGGAAGAAAAAGAAGCUCACCGAGGAACAGGCUCAGCUUCAAGAACCUUCAGGAACCAAUAUAAAGAAAGAUGAAAAUUGUCUCCAGACUCCUCUAAAGCCUCCACCAACACCACCCAGCAGUUCCUCAAACAAGAGACAGAAAAACACAACCAUCCAAAAACACAGCAUCACAAAGACAGACAGUCCUCAGGGAAAGCAACAACUUACAGAAUUUUCAUCCACCAGCAACUUCCCAGCUGUAAAUGAAAUCUUCACUUUUGAAGGACUUUCAGCAAUUGCUUCUAGAAGCCUUCAAUCUUCCCAGAAGCCUCUAGAAGCACAAUUGGAUUUAAAGAUGUCUCCAGGCUCUCCAACAUCACCUUGCCAGAAUUUUCCAGUAUCUCCAGCAUCAGAUUCAGGUGUUCAUCUGAACUCUAAAGUGCCUGCUACACUAUUCAGUGGUGCCUGGGUUCCUCAUGUGCCAGCAGCAACAGCAUUCAGUAAUGUUGGGGUCCCUCUUAUGCCUCCAGAGAGAGUGUUCAGUUCUUCCGCUGCUCCUCAGAUGUCUCCAAUAACAGUACCCAGCAGCAUCCAAGACCUUCACUUUUCUUCACCAGCAGCAUUCAGUAGCACAAAGGUUCCUCACAGUCGAGCAACAGCAUCCAGAAAUGCCCAAACUGCUAGAGCGCCUUCAGCAACAUUGACAAGCAAAGCCCAGCUCAAAAAGAUGCCUCUUCCAGCUACAGCAUCCAGCAAUGCCCAGGUUCCUCAUCCAUUAGCAACCAUGUCCAGAACCAUCUCUGUUGCACAGGUACAUCAAACAACAGCAUCCAGUAGCACUCAGACUAUUAAUUCUGCUACAAUAAAAGCAUCCAAGAAUGGCCAGGCCACUCAAAUAUCUUUAACAGCAGUACCCAAUUAUUUCCAGGCUCCUCUGGCACCGCCAUUAGUAAAAUCCAGCAGACUUACAAAAACCCCAAUACCUAUGACAAUAGCCACAAGCAGAGCCCAGACUACUCAAAUUCAUCCAGCAACAGGAUCAUUUUGUGUCCAGGCUCUUCAUGCUCCUCCAUCAAUAGUGUCCAAAAGUGUGUGUCCCACUCAAUUGAAACAAGGAGCAGCAUCCUGUACUGACAAUGCCCUUCCCCUUCCUAAAGUAGAAGCAUCCAGGAAAGUCCAAGCACCCCGGGUAUCUUCAGCAACACCAUCUAGCAGUCUCGCUGCUCCAGAAGCAACUUCACCUACAGUAUCCUGUGGUCUCGUGGCACUACCUGUAACUUCAGCAACAGCAUCCAGCAGGCUCCUGGCUCCACAUGCAACUUCAUCAACAGCAUGCAGCAGUCGUCUAGCUCUACAGUUGUCUCCAGUAACAGCAUCUAGGGCUCUCCAUGCUGCUCCAGGGCCUUCAGCAACAGUACACAGCAGUCCAACCAGGACACCAAGAAGAGGAAUUGUACCAAAGGAUCCUGCUAAGGAAGAAGGUCAGCAGCAAGGUCCCAAACAAGUGAUGGUGUUGAAAGUAACAGAACCAUUUACAUAUGACAUGAAAGAAGAUAAAAGGAUGUUUCAUGCUACAGUGGCUACUGAGACUGAGUUCUUCAGAGUGAAGGUUUUUGACUCAGCUUUAAAGAACAAGUUCAUCCCAGGAAAGAUCAUUGCCAUAUCAGAUUAUUUUGGGUGCAAUGGGUUUCUGGAGAUAUACAGAGCUUCCUGUGUGUCUGAUGUGAAUGUUAACCAAACAAUGGUUAUCUCAAAGACACUGAGGCAAAGAGCCAAUGCAACUCCGAAAAUUUCUUAUCUUUUCUCACAACCUAAGGGGACAUUUGUGAAUGGAGAGUUUGCAGUAUUCAAGUCUUUAUUUCUUCUGUCUGUGAUGGUUGAGAAGAAACAUAAAGGUCAUGAAACUACUACUGCUGUUGGAAGAAAACUGAGAGGAAUAAAUUCAUUUACUAUGGAAUUGAAGAUGAUACUGGGAAAAUGGAAGUGGUGGUUUAUGGACGACUUACCAAUAUCAAGUGUGAGCCAGGCAGUAAACUUAGACUUGUCUGCUUUGAAUUGACUUCCACUGAAGACGCAUGGCAGCUGAGGUCUGUAAGGCACAGUUACAUGCAGAGAAUCAUGGACAGAUAUCACAAGUUCUCAAGGAUGCCCUGAGCAAACCAGAUGAAAAGGGGUUUCAGUAAAUCUCCAACUCCAACAAGCCUGUGCAAAGAACACACCAUACCACUCAGUUUUAAUAUUUGUAAGGUGCACAGUCAGAUUGGGCUGAUGUACCACUACACUACUCUAGUCCCCAGUUAUGAAAUCCCUUGCAACUGUCAUCUUCUCCAGGUCAUGUGGUUCUGCUCCAUCUUCCUUCCACCUCGUUUUCUUCUUUCUUCCUCUGUCUCCUCCUUCUCAUCUGCCUCUCUCCUUCCUCUCUUCCCCCUCUCUAAAACCUCCUUCUUCACCUUUCCCUGUGACUGCCCAGUCACAGACUCUAAACUUUAUUUGACCAGUUAAAAUGGGGAAAAGGUUCACAUGAAAUCACCUGAGUAUGUGAUCCAUUCCUUGUCAGGACAGCCCAUCAAGAGAAAAUGGAAUUAACAUCAAACUACAAACAACACCAAGGACAACAAGGUCAUCAAUGCUAGAAUGUGAAGGAAAGCCACUCAACCAAGACACAGUUUGGAGAACCUCUCUGGAACCAUACUUCUGAAAACCUGGCUGCCAAUGAUACUGAUUGCAGAUAUAAGAUUCAAGUACAGAAAAUAAAUGUGUAUAUUGCCUCUUGAAAGAUAGGCCCUAUAAAAACCAGCUCUUAUUUCUAGGAAAUGGUGCUUUCUUAUAUUCUUUAUACAUUUUCUAUUAUCUAAAUUUCAUAUGUUGCCUCUAUAACUUCUAUAAUUGUUGAUUUGAAAUUUUUAUAUCUAAAACGUAAAAAAAAAAUCACAUAUUUUCUGUAAAGCAAUAUACCUUUGGGGAAAUCUUUAACCAUUUGGGAAUUGCUUUAAAAUAAAAUUUUAGUAGCCCUAGAUAAAGCUGGAGAAUACAGGCUUCAAAUGUGAUGUGUAAGGACAAAGCAUGUCCGGAACAAGUAGACUGCAUGUUCUCUGCCCAUGAAAGUCAAGGUAUUGAUAAAAUGAGAGAGAAGCUUGAACUCAGUCUUGAGCGUUCCAAAAAUAAUAUGCUGAGGACAGGAUCAAGUCUUCACAUCCUUUAUGCUGAAUAAUGUGAGUGCAUUUUAGUUUUAGUUAUUUGAAAAAUAUGCCCCAAAAUGAAGUAUUUAGGGCGGGGCAUCCUUUUUUUCAACAGUAAGGAAUCCCAUCUUCAAUUCCUGAGUGAAAUAAAAUCAGCAGAAACCUUUACAGCAAAAUGAAGAAGUCUUAUGAUAAAGCAAAUCAAAGGAAUGAAGAAAUUAGUAUUCCCAGAUACUAAUUCUAGGCCUCUCUAGGGUACUACUUACUUCUCUCACUGCUGUGAAGACUUGAUAAAGCAACUGAAGGAUCAAUAGGUUUGUUUUUGGCCGUAGUUUAAUGGUAGAUAAGGGUGAGUUGACUGGCCAAGUACCUGCAGCAGGAAGCAGAGAGAGGUGAGUUCUAGAGUUGAUAUUUCUGUCUGGCUGUCUGGCUGUCUCUUUAUCUCUAUCUCUUUAGUUAAAUCCCUAAACCUAUUCAAUGAUACCACCCACACUCUUUUGAUGAGUGUUUGCAAAUUCCUUAACACAGUCUAGAAACCCCCUCUUGCACAUGGAAAAAUGAUUCUUGCAAGUGAUUCAAGAUCCUGUCAGUUUUAUGAUCAAUAUUCACAGUCAUACAGGGAGAUGAGGUGAAAUGGAGGUAAGGACCAUAGAUAGAGAUUUUGAGAACAGAAAUACAGGCAGGAAGAUUCAAGAGCUAAGGAUGAGUGCCUCUCUCAUCUUAUAAAUCCAUAUGUUAGUCCCAUUUCUAAUGACACUGAAAUUUUAAGCUUAAUGGGAUGUUUUUAAUUCAUGGUCUCUUUUAAUCAAUAAAUUAAUGUCACUAGAAAGCA